CCUACGGGAGGCAGCAGUGAGGAAUAUUGGUCAAUGGCCGGAAGGCUGAACCAGCCAAGUCGCGUGAGGGACGACUGCCCUAUGGGUUGUAAACCUCUUUUAUAAGGGAAGAAUAAACGCUACGUGUAGCAUGAUGCCCGUAUCGUAAGAAUAAGCAUCGGCUAACUCCGUGCCAGCAGCCGCGGUAAUACGGAGGAUGCGAGCGUUAUCCGGAUUUAUUGGGUUUAAAGGGUGCGUAGGCGGUUUUUUAAGUUAGUGGUUAAACGUCGGGGUUUAACCUUGAUUUGCCAUUAAUACUGUAAGACGCGAGUUCAGACGAGGUAGGCGGAAUGAGUUAGGUAGCGGUGAAAUGCUUAGAUAUAACAUAGAACUCCGAUAGCGAAGGCAGCUUACCAGACUGCGACUGACGCUGAAGCACGAAAGUGUGGGUAGCGAACAGGAUUAGAUACCCGUGUAGUC
rnacentral:rRNA from 1 species